AGCUUCUUCCAAGUGUCUAUGGUUCUCUGUUUAAAGAAAAACUUCCUAAUAUUUGUGCAAAAUGUAUUCUUAAAAUUAGGUAUGUGUAAGCGAGGGUGGUCCAUGUGAUGGAUUAGAGUCCCAACUGUGCCCAGCUUUCAAUCUUUUGCCCAACCAUGUGGAACAGUCUCUAACUCCUGCAACCCUGAAAUGGAUUGAGAAGGUUCUAGAGCCUUCCUGCUGAACUCUACUGUGACUGCACACUUCUCAAACAGACCUGAAUAUUAUUGCCUGUACUCAUUUUCUAACUUGUUUCUUUUUGCAUAUAAAAAGACACAACCGUUUUGACACAACCCUUUAAUGUCUUACUUGCUUACUUGCCUAUUUACAUACUAGCUAAUUUCAGCCUUCAUCUGCCAUACUGUGUAAAGCGUAGCCCUUUAAUACAAACAGUAAUGUUAACCAAGACAAUAAAGUUAAUUGAAGCAGAAGAUCUCUCACUUGAUUUGAUUCUUUUUGAUUUUCGAAAACCCACGGGUUCUUGAAAGUUCUUUUGAAGAAUUUAUCGUUCUUAACAAAGACAACUAAUUGUAAUAAAAACAUCUAGGCACUCAUAUUCAUCAGUGCCAUUUGUUAGAUGGCAUGGUACACCCACUGGCAGGUUUGCUUCAACCCUCCAUUCACCUUAAUUAGAGUAUGCUGAGAAAUACAAAACAAAAGUGCAUAGCAGUUGAUAACAAUGGUGAUCAGUGGAGAAUGGACAGACUGUACAAACUGUUAGAAAAGCCACAAGUAUUCAAGUAACAGUGAUGUGCAAAACGGCAUUCAAGAACAUACAACAGAAUGGACCUUGAAAGUAGAAGGGCUGCAUUGGGGAAGACCACAAAGAGUUCAACUCCUGUCAGCUAAGAAAAGGUGGGUAGUAUUUUUAUUGUUGUUGACAACAUUUUGCCACAAUUUGGAAAUCUUUUCUAGUUGUGGGUCCUGUUAUUUUGUAUCCAUCAUCACAUGGUUGACAUCAUUCUGCCUGUGAAAGAUGGCAAUGACCACCAGCAUGCCUCUUAGAGUGGAUGCUAUGAUUCUUUGCACUUCCAGUGAAAUUUCAGUGUGCUUCUUCUUGUUCGCAGCUCUUCCAUUUUGAGUUUUUUGAAGUGCUCCAUCAUAUUUAUAUAUUUUACAUAUACUUAUUGUUAUUAUUUAUAAUUUUAAUCAUGCCAUUUUCACUGUUAUUUUUUACAGGAGCUGCCCUUUCAAGUCACUGUUGUUAUGAUACAGCGUCAGUUGCUAUGGAGAGCAUCUCUAGAAAUGCCGUAAUUAACAUUAUGGACGCAAUGAUAUAAAAACUGGUGCUUCAGACACGUCAUUUUCCAAAUUUGUACAUCUCUGUAAAAAUCAGCCUCCCAUGCAUGGAGAAGUCACCCUUAUCUACCAGCCCUAAGUAAGGAGUGUGAGAAGUAAUUUAGUGGACAUAGAGGAAAAACCACUCAUAGGCCUUGGCUCCAUUUUAGCCUGUGCGGACAUCAAAGCCUGCUUCUCGAGUUUGGAGCCGGAUGGAUUUUCUGUCUAGGCCACUGUUUUGAGAUUUUCUUGUGCAAUUUAUAACAUUGAAUAAAAGUCAGUUAAAGUCAUUAAGUAAGUAGUUAAAAGUUCAUUAGUAGUAGAGUCCAGUCAAUAUGCACCGUCAAGAAGCAAUUGUAAGUGCUCACACUUUUCAAACUAACCAUGAUCAUGGGUAAUCAACACCUGACCAUUGUGAUUAGUUAUGAGUUGUCGUAGUCAAUCAGCCGUCAUUAUUCUAUAUAAAUACAACUGCAAGCCGUUUAGCUAUCUAUUUGUUUAUCUAUUUCUUUGCU